GCAUCGGCAGGCGGACUCUCAACCACUGCGCCACCAGAGAAGCCCAUCCCCUAAUUUUUAAUACUUCUAUACAAUUUUUAAAACUGUCUAUAGGUGUCCAUAAGAUCUGACUUGUUUAAAAUUUUUGUAUCUUUAUUGAUUUAUUUUUGUUUGCUUAACCCAUCAAGAAUUGAGAAAAAAAGUGUGUGGAAUCUCUUUGAGUAGUAGAUAUGUCAAUUUCUCUCUGUAGUACUUCCAUUUUAAAAAAAUAUAUUACUUUGAGGAUGUUUUAUGAGGUACAUACAAGUUGAGUUGUUAUAUCUUCAUGGAGAAUUAAAGUUUUUAUCCCUAUGUAGUGACCUUUUAUAUCACUUUGUGUCUAGAAAUCUAUUUUGUUCAACAUUAGUAUAGCUAUUCCUGCUUUCUUUUGUUUAUUAUUUACCUGGUUUACCUUUUUCCAUUAUUUCAACCUUUUCAGGGCCUUAUGCUUUAGGUAUGUCUCUCAUUAACUGCUUAUAGCUGAAUUCUGUCUCCUCCCCCCUCAAUCUGAUAAUCAGCACCUUUUUAACUAGCAAGUUUAGUCUGUUUGCAUUUAGUGUAGUUAUUGAUAUAUUUGAUGUGUUUGUACUGUCUUGCACUUUAAUUUUAUUUGUCCAUUUUUCCUGUAUUUUCCCCUCCUUUCUUUUUUUUGUUUGUUUUUUAAGUGGAGAGGGUUUUUUUCUUUUUUUUCUUUUUCCUCUUUACAUGUUUGAAAUUUAUAACUUAUAUACAUUCGUUUGGUGGUUACCCUUGAAAUUUUAUCGUGCAUACUUGCAAGCCUAGGUUUAAACAAUAUGUUAACCUCUUUCAGAAUAAUGCAAGGACUUAGGAACUACUGAUCACAUCCCCCAUUGACUUAAAAGCUAUUGUUUUCUGCAUUUUAUUUAUUUUUUAUUUUUUCGGACUUGCUGAGCAGCUUGCAGGAUCUUAGUUCCCCGACCAGGGAUCGAACCUGUGCCCCCUGCAUUGGAAGUGCAGAGCCCUAACCACUGGACCGCCAGGGAAGUCCCUGUUUUUUGCAUUUUAAUUCUGUCCUCUUAAUAAAUUAGAUAUUAUAGAAUUAUUAUUUUAUACAGACAAUGUUUGUUUGGAUUUACAUAUAUGUUUAUCAUUUAUUUGCUUGCCAUUCUUUCUUCUGUCUCAGGCUUUCCUUCUGGGAUCACUUUUCUUUUUCCUGAAAUACAUUCUUCCUAGAAGUUCCUUUUUAAUGCAUCUUUAGACAUUCCAUUUGUUAUUUUUUUCACAACUGCAUGUUAUUUUCAGAUAAUUUCUUUGCUUUAUCAUCUUAUAAUUGCAUCUUUUAUUUUUUCAAAUAAUUCAUGUAUUGCUGUUCUGGUUCUGUAUCUGAUAGUUUAAAUAUCUGUAGUUGUUGGUAGUGUAAAUCUGUUUUAUGCUCACUCUCCCCUUUGAUGAGUUUAAUUAUGAGCUCAUUGAUUGAUCUUUAUUUGAGUCCUAUGGGAAAUUUUUCUCCAGGGGAAAUAUGCUUCUGUUUCUGCCAGAGCUUAGAGGAUGGUACUAACAUGAGAUGGUCCCAGUUCCUCAGAGGUCCCAGGUCAGGCUAAGCUUCCCACCCUGCAGCUGGCAUAAGGUUCCAUAUACCACAGCAGCGCUGCUAUUGGCAUCUCUGCAGGGCAGCCCGUCCUUUCCAACUGCCUGCCACUCUGCUCUCAGCUCACUGGGUUGUUUUGUCUUAUUUUAACUUUUCAGUUGUGGGGAAAGGAGUAGUCCUUUUUCUUUGUUUCCAGUUAGGUGAAAUUCCUUAUUUUUGUGACAUGAUAUUAUUGACCUGUAAAUCUUAUAAAUAUUUGUAGCAUCUGGUUUACUAUUUUUCAACUUAACUAGUAAUCCAAGAAAUGUUAUAAUAUAAUGAAAUGGCAUUUUUGCCACCUAUCAAAUUGUCAGAGAUGUGUUUUUUAAAAAUACUUACUGGCAAAACCAGGACACUCAAAUACUUUUAAACUAAAUGUCAUCUUGCUACAAACUUUUUGGAGGGCUUUGGAAAUAUGUGUCAGAAGUCUUUACCUAACAAACCUAACAAAAGUCUUUUAGCUAACAAUUCUACUUUUAGGAAUUUACCCUGAGAAAAAGAGUGGAUAAGUGCAUAUAAUUUAAAUACAGUGAUAUAACUUGCAGUAUCAUUAUGAUAAUGAAAAGUGGUAAGUAACUUUAGUGUCCAAUAUAGGGACAUUUUGUUGUUGUUGGUUUUUGUUUGUUUAUUUGUUUGUUUUUUGCGGUACGCGGGCCUCUCACUGUUGUGGCCUCUCCCGUUGCGGAGCACAGGCUCCGGACGUGCAGGCUCAGCGGCCAUGGCUCACGGGCCCAGCCACUCCGCGGCAUGUGGGAUCUUCCCGGACCGGGGCAUGAACCCGUAUCCCCUGCAUCGGCAGGCGGACUCUCAACCACUGCGCCACUAGGGAAGCCCCUGUUGUUUUGUUUUUAAUAUUUAUUUAUUUAUUUGGCUGUGUUGGAUCUUAGUUGCGGCACACGGGAUCUUUCGUUGCAAUGCGUGGGCUCUUUGCUGUGACGUGCGGGCUCCUCUCUAGUUGUGGCAUGCAGGUUUUCUCUUUAGUUGUGGCUCUCUAAUUGAGGCCCACGAGCUCAGUAGUUGUGACACAUGGGCUUAGUUGCUUCUCUGACUAGGGAUCGAACCCGCAUCCCCUGCAUUGGAAGGCAGAUUCUUUACCACUGGGCCACCAGGGAAGUCCUGGGAGAUUGUUAAAUUAUGAUAUAACCAUGAGAAGAGCCACUAUAUAGCCAUUAACAAGGUAUAGAAGAAUAUUUACUAAUAGGGGAAAAUGUUCAUGAUAUUUUAAUUGAAAAAUGUUUUAAAAAGUUGUCAAGAAUAUCCCCAAGUUUUAAAACUUACAUAUAUAUGCCAAAAUGUAAAUAGUAGUUAUUUGGGGGCAAUAUGAUUAUAUAUUUUGUAUUUUUUUUUGUAGUUUUCUCUUAUCUUCCAUAAUAGCACUUUUGUUAUCAGAAAAAAAUAGCAAAUGAAAUGUGAUUCUCAUUGCGAGAGUGGGAGGGAGGGGGUUAUUUGAAAUGUGUGUUGUUUUAUCAUCAAGUUUUCUUUCCAUAGAUGAAGGUUAAUUAUGUCAGUACAUACCCUAGGAAAAAGUUAUAAUUUAAGUGUCUAGCCUAGACAUACAAGCCAGCACUUCGUCAAACUAGUGGGCUAGAUUAGAGACUCAAAGUUGCCACUGCAUUUUUUAUAUUAUAUAAAAAGAGUAUGCACUGUUUAGAAAAAAUCCUCAGCCAAGUGAAUAAAUAGUACAGCCAUAUUGCAGACAUUUUACAAACAAGGAAUAUGAGGAAGAACCAAAAAAUGUAUUUCUUUACAUGAGAUCAAAUAGAGCAUAGGCUUAGAGGUUUCAUUUAUAUCAGCAGCUAAUUUAUGUGUGCCUGUACUACUUACUCACCGUGUGUAGGAUCAUUAUAGAUGUGAGACGUUGCAACACUGCAAGUGAUUUUUCAGCACAAUCUGUAGUGAUACAGCCUUAAAUACACUUGAUAUUGCUUGUUUAAUAGCUGAAAUAAAACCUGGGGUUGGGCAUUAAAAACUGUGGUUUUAGGCAUUUAUAAUGACACAUUUCUACUGUAUUAAAGAAUAAAUUUUUAAAAAUGACAAAAUUUAAUUGAUGUGAUCAUUCAUUAUUCAUAUCUGGUUAAAUUUGUAAAACAGACUCCUUUACAAAUAUUUUCAAUCUCCCAAUAUUUAAGACCAAGUCAAAAUAUUAUCAUUGCAUAUUGAUAAUCUGUUAUUCUCAUCUGGGUUUAUGUUUUGUCUGUUUAUUUCACUACCUAGACCAAUGUCCUUUAAAAGUGUUUUUAGGGACUUCCCUGGUGGUCCAGUGAUUAAGAACCCAUGCUUCCAGUGCAGGGGGCGCGGGUUCAAUCCCUGGCUGGGGAACUGAGAUCCCGCAUGCCGCGUGGUGCAGCCAAAAAAAAAAAGUGUUUUUAAAUUAGAAUUUGAUUUAUUUUAUUAAAUGCUGUUUUGCCAUCCUGUGAGAUGGUCAUAUGGAUUUUCCUUUUUUACUUGUUAUGAUUAUGUAUGUUAAUAGAUUUUCUAAUGCCAGCUGUUAUCAGGCUAAAUUCUUAGGGUCAAAUAAACAAAACAUUAGCAGUGUCUCUUUAUUCAAGACCAACUUGAAUAUUUCACCUUUACAGCCAGUUCCCAAAAGCUUCUCAUAAUUAAGAAUUGAAAAUUAGUACUACAGUGUGAACAUGCCUAAUUACUGGGAAUUUAUUUUCAUCAACUUUGUUUCUGAAGUUGCUGUAUUUCUAGACUUAGAAAUUUUCUGUUACUUGACUACAUUGCAGUGAAUGCUCUCUCUAGGAAAUAAGUUUGUGAUGAUUGAGAAACAGAAUUAAGACAGUGGAUAGAUAUCCAGAACAUAAGUCUUAAGUGUGCCUUUGAGUCACAUAAUAUAUAGUCUUAGAAAAUAAGUUACAGUUAUUGUAGACUAAGCAUUAAUGAUGUUGAUGUUUGAAUUUCAAUACUGACAGAUCACUAGUAAACUAUUUCAAAGCUUUAUAAAAGACAUUGAAUUUCAUUCUUAGAGUUUUCCCACAAUACAACUUAAUCUUUCUUCUUAGAACCAUAAUAAAUACAAAUAACCACACUAAAAGAUCUAUCACAUCCUCAUUCAUAUUAGACUUUUUUUUAAGUUGAGGUAUAGUUGAAUUACAAUAUUGUAUUAGUUUUAGGUGUACAACAUAGUGAUUCAAAAUUUUUAUAGAUUAUAUUCCAUUUAAAGUUAUAAAAUAUUGGGUAUAUUCCUGUGCUGUACAAUAUAUCCUUGUAGCUUAUUUAUUUUAUUCAUAGUAGUUUGCGCCUCUUACUCCCCUACCCCUAUUUUGCUCCUACCCCCUUCCCUCUCCCUGCUGGUAACUACUAGUUGAUUCUCUAUAUCUGUGAGUCUGUUUCUGUUUUGUUAUAUUCAUUCAUUUGCUUUUGUUUUUGUUUUUUUUUUUCAGAUUCCACAUAUAAGUGGUAACAUACAGUACUUGUCUUUCUCUGUUUGACUAUUUCACUAAGCGUAAUACCCUCUAGGUCCAUCCAUGUUGUUGCAAAUGGCAAAAUUGCAUUCUUUUUUAUGGCCGAGUAAUAUUCCAUUGUGUGUGUGUGUGUGUGUGUGUGUGUGUGUGUCUGUGUGACAUCUUCUUUAGCCAUUCAUCUGUUGAUGGACACUUGGGUUGCUUCCAUAUCCUGGCUAUUGUAAAUAGUGCUGCUAUAAACAUUGGGGAGCAUGUAUUUUUUCAAAUUAGUGUUUUCCUUUUCUUUGGAUAUAUAUUCCCAGGAGUGGGAUUGCUGGAUCAUAUGGUAGUUUUAUUUUUAGUUUUUUGAGGAACCACUGUUUUCCACAGUGGCUGUACCCAUAUUAGACUUCUUUACAGUGCAGUGAUUGGAAAGGAAAGCACUAGCUUUUAAGUAAUCUCAUAAAAUCAUUUUCAGUUCAUAGGACACCUUCCUGUCUAUUCCCAAAACUGCCAGUUCUUAUCAAGGGCAUUUUAAUACCUAGCCACUGUUCAGCUGUGGAUGCAGCUAUAUUUACACUUGGUGGUUAGUCUUUAAGAUAGUCUAAGAAUCUACAAGCUUGCUUGAAAAUAGAAAUGAUAUCUUCCUAAUUAAAUGUUUAAAGGUGCUGGGCUUCCAAAAAGAAUGAUAGAUCAAAGAAUCCUUGGAUUUGUUUAAUAAUAAAGGUAUCAGUUAGCCUGGCUAAUUAGCCAGCGUCAGAUGAACUUUAUGUUGAAAUAUAACUUUGAAAUGAAAUGGAAUAGAACUUGACUUUGUAGAUAAAUAAGUAUAUAAAGAAUAUGGACAUUUCCAAGUACGUAUCUAAAACAUACAUAACACUGUGGGUCUGUAUAUGUUGGUGGAGAGUGAGGGAACAGGAGUAGUUAAGGCUGAAAUGCAAGUUUUGGGCAACUGGGUGAAAGGUGAUAGUCUUCACUGAGAUAAGGAACAGAGGAGAUGGAGCCUCUGUGUUUCUGUGUGUGUUUGUGUGUGCAGAGGGGAGUUAGAAGACAGUUUGAAGCACCUGUCGGACAUCCAAUUAAAGAAGUCUAGAAGGUAGAUAUCAAGGUCUGAGACAGAUCCAGGUGAAAGAUACAAAUUUAUGAGUUGUCACCAUGUAUAUGGUCAUUAAAGUCAUGGGCUUGGUUGAGAUCAUCCAGCUGAUAUGUGAGAAGAGAAGAAAACGAAGAUAACCAGAGAAGAAUCUUGAGGAACACAAAUAUUAAUAUUUAAGGAAUGGGCACAAAACGAGGAGCCAGAGUAGAGAUCAUGUUGCAGGAAGGCAGGAUGGUAUAGACCAAUUAGGAGGCAGAGGUGAGGUCAUGGUGGCUCAGAAUAAAGUGGGGGCAGUGGAGGUAAAAGAGAGAUUUUAAAAGAUUUAGUGGGCUUCCCUGGUGGCGCAGUGGUUGAGAGUUUGCCUGCCGAUGCAGGGGACACGGGUUCGUGCCCCGGUCUGGGAAGAUCCCAUAUGCCGCGGAGCAGCUGGGCCCGUGAGCCAUGGCCGCUGAGCCUGCGCGUCCGGAGCCUGUGCUCUGCAACGGGAGAGGCCACAACAGUGAGAGGCCCGCGAACCGCAAAAAAAAAAAAAAAAAAAGAUUUAGUGACGGAUCAUGUGAGGGAUGGGAGAGAGGAAGUCAAGGAUGACCUCUUUUUUUCUGACCUAAACAUCUGGGUGGUUGGAGGUGGGGUUUCCUGAGUUAGAGAGCACUGGGAGAGAAGCAGUUUUGGAAAGGAAGAUAAAGUCAGAACUGAGCAUGUUGAUUUAGAUGUCUUGGAAGACAUCCAAAUAGAUAUUUCUUUCACUUGGUAGAAAUUGAUUGAUUACCUACUGUAGAUCAGGCACUAUGCUUCACACUGGAUGUUCACCAAGGAGAUAUUUGGGUCUGGAACUCUAGGUAUAGCUGGAGGUCUUGGCUGCCAAAGUACAUUUGAGAGUUGUCAGCAUUCAGUUGGCGUUUGAAGCUAUCAGAAUAUAUGAGAUCACAUAGGGAGAGUGAGAAGAAGGCCUAGGAUCCAACCCAGGAAACCUGCACAUUGACCUGGAGAGAAGGAGAUUGAGAAAGAUUGACCAGAGUGUUAGGAGAGUUAGGAUACUAUGAUAUCCAGACUCUCGGAGGAGUUUUGAGGAACACCAUGUGGUCAACAGGGCCAAAUAAUGCCAAGGAGUCAAGCAUAAAAAGGAUUGAAAACUUUCCAUUGGGUUUAUCAGCAGGGAAGUCAUUAGUUAUCUUAUGAGGAUGAAUUUCUAGAAUAGGAAAUGCUGGAUCAAAAGAUAUGUUUGAUAAAUACUGCCAAAUUGUUCUCCAAAAAAGUUCAUACCAAUUUAUACUCCUUCCAACAGUAUAUGGGGGUAUGUGUGUUCUCAUACUGUCACUGGUAGUGGGUAUUAUAAGUCUUAAUCUUUGCCCCAAGGAUAGGGGAAAAUAAUGCCUCGUUAUCUGAAUACCCAUUUCUUUGAUAAUUUGUGAGGCAGCAUGUCUUUUUAUGUGUUUAUUGGUAAUUUUUUUUUCUUCUUGAAAUUACUCACUCAGAUUAUUUACCAUUUGUCCAUUUUUACCGGGAGCAUUUUAUUUUUUUUUAAUUGAUUUUUAAGAGCUCCUCAUAUUAUUAGGGUUGGUGAGCCUCUGCAAAAGAUAUACAUAUCUUUAAAAUUUUUUUAUUGUUCUUUAAAUUAUUCUUACAGCUUAGGACAAAAUUCUGAAGUCCCCUUUAUACUGUCUACCUUUCUCAGUGUUGCCAAGUUUGUACCCUUUGUACCACGGAAGCUGGUGUAGAUGUUUGCUCACUGAAGAGGAAUUACUGGUCAUUGGUGUCUUAAGAACACGUUACGUUCAAGGAUGUGGCCGUGGACUUCACCGAGGAGGAGUGGGGGCAGCUGGACUCCGCACAGAGGGCCCUGUACAAAGAGGUGAUGCUGGAGAUCUAUGGCAACCUGGUCUUAGUGGGAAAGUAACUUUAUGACUGUGCCGAGUGUGGCAAGAGCUUCAGUCAGAGCACAGACCUUCACAUCCACCAGAGAGUCCACACGAGAAAGAAACCUUUCGUGUGUGAUACAUGUGGCAAAGCCUUCAGUUAUAACAGGAAUCUUCAUGUGCAUCAGAGGGUCCACACAGGAGAGAAACCUUUUAAGUGCGAGGAGUGUGGCAAGGGCUUCCAUCAGAGCCCCAACCUUCGCAUCCACUGGAGAGUCCACGCUGGAGCAAAACCGUACAAAUGUGAGAAGUGUUGUGAGAGCUUCAGACAGAACGUAGACCUCCAAGAGCAUCAGAGGGUCCACACAAGGGAAACCAUUUCAAUGGUGAAACCCUUAAAGUACAAGCUUCCGUGCUCAUCAGAAAGUCCACACAGGAGAGAAACCUGUAGGUGUGAGGAGUGUGGAAAGGAUUUAGAUCACAGUGAAUCUUCACAUUCUCCAGAGAAUGAAACUGCAGAUGUGAUGGGUGUGUGAUAAGGGUUUCUUCAGUUAGAGCUUAGAUCUUCGAGUUUAUCUAAGAAUUAAUACAGGAGAAAACCCAGUUAUAUGUGCUAAGUGUAGUAAGGGCUUUGGAAAGAGCACUAACCUUGAGUUCCAUAAGUCCCCACAGGAGAGCAAUGUUACAAAUGUGCAAGUGUGGUAAAGGGUUUCUUAAGAGCACAGAGCUUCUCUGCAGAGCGUCUACUCAGGGGAGAAACCAUUGAUUUCAGUGUCUGUGGUUGGGGCUUCCGUUACAGCACAAACCUUCAUGCACAUCAGAGUCCAUGCGCGGUAGAGACCCUGUGUGCGUGAGAAGUGAGUCAGGCCUUCACAUCCAUUUGACUCCACGUGGGAGAAAACCAUGCAGGUGUAGGUAUGUGCAUAUCUCCCCCUUCCCGAGAGAGCCUGUUUCUACCACGAUUCUGGCAGCUCCAAGAGAGGGCAGCUGCAUGUGCUUUGCUCGCCGUUGUGUCCCCAGCUCCUGGCACAGUGCCUGGCAGGAGUAGCCACCGAGUAAAUAUUUGUUGAAUGAGAAUCCAUGUGGGAGGGAACACCUGUUUGUGUGAUAGUGGGGUAAGGACUUCAAGGUCAACAUGUUGAAGCCUUUUUAGAAAGUGUGUUCACAGUCAGAUCAUGGGUUUUGUCAUGAGUUAAUCCCUGCAGGAGAGAAAUCCUGUGAACCUGAUGAUUAUACUAAUGGACUUAGAGAAAAAUUAUCAAAUUAUUAAAUCAGUGUAGUAAAUUUAAAAAUACAUGUCUUCAGCAUAAGAAUCCACACCCCCAAAACUGUAUCAGCUGUGAAAAUACUUUAGUCAAAACUCAUACAUUAAAAUGUGUAUCUAUUCAGGAAAAAAAAAUCCUGUGUACACCCUAAUGAAGUUAUGUGUCAGGCUCUGGACUGACCACCUCCGCAUAAGGGGGACUCCACCAGAAUCUGGUAGCAGUAGCUCUUCUUUUGUUUUAUAUUUCAUCUCAAAGAGGUUUAUGUUAGACAUAACCAAUGAGUUAUCCAGGGCCAAGGAUUAACAAGGCCUUCCUUUUGGGAGAGACGCCCCUUACCUGGCAAAGUGCCCUUCUAGGCUGGAAGCCUCCUGGCCCUGAUUGAGUGUCUCCCUGCCCAUCAUGUCAUCAGGCUGCUGGGAGCUUUGCACCAUGGAUUGUAGAAAUUCCCAGGUGAGGCAUGUUCAGGGUAAGUGUCUAUAGAAGAGAUAGCUAAAAAAAAGGGGGCUGGGUCAGGGUUUACAGAGGGGAGUUAGAGGAGAGGAAAGCAAGUCUGAAACGGUAGGGAAUAAUUAGAAGAAAUAGGAAAAGAACAGUGCCUGGGAGGUAGUUGGGAGGGGUCAUAGGGGUGGGAAGCCCCAAGGCUUCUCCUAAGUCUCCAGCAAGUGUCUCAACCUCCAGUACAGGGCUCUCCUUGGAGAUCUAUGCUAACCAGAGUGUGGUCUGUAGUGGGUAGAGAUGGACCCCAGUAGCAUCAGGGCCAGUUGGGGCCAGAGGUGGAAGAGUUACUGUGAGGGGCCUUGGAAGGCAACUCUAUGCCCCAUCAUUUCCCCACGUGGCCCAAGUCAGGCGGGACCAUUAUCCCUCCAAUAGAAGGAAGGAUCAUAUAUGCAGGCAAUAAUAAGCUUGACCCCCUUCAGGAGGCAUAAAUUAACUAGAGAACAGCCUGGGGGUCUGGCAAUGAAAAGGGAAGACCUGGACCAGUGGAGGUUAUGAAAAGGUCAGUGACCCAGUGUCAUCUCUAAAUCUGGGUAGGGAACAGAGAAAGUUGGUAAACAUUUCCACUGAGUCCUUCACCUAAGAGCAAUGUAUUUUUCUGCAUCCCCACUAAACAGCCAUUUGGGGGUUAGAAAGGCUUUGGGGCUCUUUAGGAGGACUUCCAGUUGAGCUGUCCAGGGACCACUGGCCUAAGUUGGGAAAGGGGAUGGUAUCCCUGAGGACUGUGAUGGCACCCAAAUACCACUGAAUGCAGGUUAUAUUAAUAAAAUUCUCACAACACUGAGGUUUAUAUUAGUGUCUUUUCCUUCUUCCUCUUUCUUUUUCCUCUCUGUCUCUUCCCUUUUAUUUUCUUUCUCUCUGUUUUUAGAUUUAAAAAAUAUUUGAAGUACAAAAUAUUUCAGACAUACAGAAAAGUUCAGAAAAUGUAACAGCUAUUUUCUCAACUGAGAUUAAGUAGAUGUUAAAUUUUUUGCCAUAAGAGCUUCAGGUUUUUUUUUUUUUUUGGUAUGGAAAAAAAAAAAGCAACAGAUACAACUAAAGCCUCAUGCUCUAUUCUCUCAACUCUGCUCAGAGGUAACCAUUAUGCUUUAGUUACUAUGUGUUGUUCCUCUGUAUGUUUUGGGUUUUUUAUUACCUGUGUGUCCAUGGUAUCUUAAAUUUUUACAUAGGUAACAUCAUCUUGUAUGUUAUCUUUUUGCAAUUUGCUUGAUUCACCAAACAUUACAGUUUUGAUUCUUUUUUUUUUUUUUUGCGGUGCGCGGGCCUCUCAUUGUUGUGGCCUCCGCCGUUGCGGAGCACAGGCUCCGGACGCGCAGGCUCAGCAGCGGCCAUGGCUCACGGGCCCAGCCGCUCUGCGGCAUGUGGGAUCCUCCCGGACUGGGGCACGAACCCCCGUCCCCUGCAUCGGCAGGCGGACUCUCAACCACUGCGCCACCGGGGAAGCCCUGAUAUUUUUUUUAUGCUAAUGUUUUAGAACAAAGUCAUGGAUUUUAACUUCUAUCGUGUUCUAAGCUAUCAGACAGGUAUUCUUUUCAAUAGAUUAUUUGUAUAUCCCUGUGCCAGUAACACAUUUUUGAGUAAUAUAGCUUUAUAGUAAUUGUCUUAGCUAUUUAAAACCCUUUAUUUUUUCAUAUAAAUUGUAGGGUCAGCUUGCUAAAAUUUUUGAAAAAAUCUGUUGGAUUGGGAUUUUGGGAGUUUUGUUUCAUUUUCUCUCAUUUUGUUCUUUCCAUUGGAUUAUGUUUUCUUUCUUCUCCCUUUAUUUACCUCUACAAGAUUAGUAUUUACAUUUUAUCUCCUUUCGUUUUAUGUUAACUUGCAUAACUGUUAAAUUAAGCCCCUCCUUAACAAGAUAGAACAGAACACUAACUACUCCUCCUCUCAUGUUACAUGUUAUUGUUGUAUCAGUGCAUGGUUUUAACUUCAUCAUGUUUUUUUUUGUUGUUUUUUUGUUGUUGUUUUUUUUUGCGGUACACAGGCCUCUCACUGUUGUGGCCUCUCCCGUUGCGGAGCACAGGCUCCGGACGCGCAGGCUCAGCGGCCAUGGCUCACGGGCCCAGCUGCUCCGCGGCAUAUGGGAUCUUCCCAGACCGGGGCACGAACCCGUGUCCCCUGCAUCGGCAGGCAGACUCUCAACCACUGCGCCACCAGGGAAGCCCUCAUCAUGUUUUUAACACACCGCAGAUUUAUCACUAUUAUUAUAUGUUGUAAAUAGCCAACACAAGUUUCGAUUAACUGGAACAUUUACCAGUUUCUUACCACUGGUUCUUGCAUUUCCUCCUUCCUUCUGAGUUCCAUUUCCUCAGCCUCCCAGAGCAGUUGCAGCUUGUAUCGUGGUUAAAAGCACCAGCUCUGCAGUCAGCCUGCCUGGGUUUGAUAUCUGGCUCUGUAGAUCUCUAGCUAUGUGACCCUGGGCAGAGUACUUAAUUUCUUUGUGCUUCAAUUUCUCCAUCUGUAAAAGAGAGAUGAUAGUAUUAUUUACUUCAUGGGGUUGUUAUUAGGAUCAAAUGAAUUAAUAUUUGUAGAAUGAUUAAAAUAGUGCCAGGCACAUACUAAGUCUUGUAAAAGUAUUUCUUUUGUAAAUAAAAUAAAUGAAUCCUUCAGUAGUUUUUCAGCAGGUAUGUCUGAGAGUAGUAAAUUCUUUAUUUCUCCCUUACUUGUGAAUUAUAGCAUAGCUGGAUAUAGAAUUCUAAAUUGGAAUUUAAUUUUUCUCAGUAAUUCCUUAACCUCUAGUGCUGCUAUUAAAAGUCUGUCAUUAGUCUGAUUAUUGUUUCUUUUGAGACAGCCUGACUUUUCCCUCUGGUUAGUUUUAAAAUUAGGAUUUGCAAAAUCCUGAAAAGCAGAAGCAUGUUCUGCCAUUUUACUAAAUGUAUAUAGGAGUGGGUUUACUUGUAUUUUCCCUAAUCAAGACAGUAGCAUGUAAAAUAGCUUUUACAUGCUAUUUUCUCUUUUGCUAAUUUUUCAUUCUUUAUUAUAUCUUUCUACUUCUAUUGGGUGUAUCUUUUUUUUUUCCUAGCGUCUUGAGUUACAUGGUUAGAGUUUAUUUUUAGCCUUUCUUGUUUUCUAAUAAUGCAUUUCAGUGCAUUUAUUAGAAAUUAAAUUUCCCUUGAAUACUUUGGCAGCAUCCCUUGCAGUAUGCAGUUUGGCAGUAUGUAUCAAAAGGCUUUAAAAUGUUUAUGCCAAUUGACUGAGAAAUUUUACAUCUAAGAAUCUAUGUUAAGGGAAUAAUCAAAUAAAUUAUGUGUAAAAAGUAUACAUUACCAUGUGUUAUUUCCACAUUUUUUUGUGUGUGUGUGGUACACAGGCCUUUCACUGUUGUGGCCUCUCCCAUUGUGGAGCACAGGCUCUGGACGCGCAGGCUCAGCGGCCAUGGCUCACGGGCCCAGCCGCUCCGCGGCAUGUGGGAUCUUCCCGGACCGGGGCACAAAACUGUGUCCCCUGCAUCGGCAGGCAGACUCUCAACCACUGCGCCACCAGGGAAGCCCUACAUUUUUUAAAAGAAGGAAAGGAUUACUUCACAAUCCAGAGGAUGUCAUACUGUAUCAUAGUAUAUCUCUAUGAUGCAGUAUUCUCCAACAAAAAAAGUGAUGUUUUUGAAUCAUUUUUAAUGACUUAGGAAAAUUUGCAUAAUAUAGCACAUAUAAAGACACAUACAUAGAGGAAAAAACUGGAAAGAAAUAUACUAAUAUAUUAAUAGUGUCAAUGGAUGAUUUUUAUUUUCUAUUUUAUGUUUUUCAGGAUUUUGCAAGCAGUCGAAUACUUCCCAGUCCCUGUUGACAACAGCAUUAACUCUUCUAAUAACAAAAUGAUACAUGCCUAUUGUAAAAUAUGAAAACAUUAUGAAACAAAAGUAAGUGUAACUGGUUUAAUCAUGGAAUGUCAACUCAGUUGGGUAUAUAAGAUCAUGAAAUGGUUCUUUUUUCCCCCCAGGCUCUGCCUUCAUCCAUUCUGUUGAAUCCCCAUGAAUGAAUGAAUGAAUGAGUGAGUACUGAGUGGGAAAGAGACACUGAGGGAGGGCUUUAGGAAAGGAAGGCUUUUCCUCACCAGUUCCCUGAGGAAGAAUACAAACUGUAUAAAAGAUUACAACUGGUGAAAAUAUUUCCAAUCCAUAUCACAGACAAAGAGAUUCAUCUGCCUAUUUAUCAAGAGCUCUUAGAAAUCAAGAAGAAAAAGCACAGGGACUUCCCUGGUGGUGCAGUGGUUAAGAAUCCGCCUGCCAAUGCAGGGGACACGGGUUUGAGCCCUGCUCCAGGAAGAUCCCACAUGCCGCGGAGCAACUAAGCCCAUGCGCCACAACUACUGAUCCUGUGCUCUAGAGCCUGCAGGCCACAACUACUGAAGCCCAUGUACCUAGAGCCCAUGCUCCGCCACAAGAGAAGCCACCACAAUGAGAAGCCCGCACACCGCAACGAAGAGUAGUCCCCAUUCGCCACAACUAGAGAAAGCCCACACGCAGCAACAAAGACCCAAUGCAGCCAAAAAUAAUUAAGAAGAAAAAGCACACAAAAAAAUGUGAAGAGACUGUUCAGACAUAAUACAAGUGACCCUUAAAUGUAUGGAAGGAUGACAGACUUUUCUCAUAAUAUGAGAAAUGUAUAUCAAAACCAUGCUGAGAUACCAUUUCUCACCUAUGGGAUUAGCAAAAAAUUGAAAAUUAAAAAAAAAAACUUGUUAAUGAGGCAUACAGAAGUAGGCAUUUUCAUACAUUGCCGUGGGGCUUGCAAAAUAGAACAACUCCUAUGGAGAAGAAUUUGACAAUAUCUACUGACACUGUAGAUACAUUUGCCUUUUGAUCCAGAUAUUCUAUUUCUGAGACUCUAUCCCACAGAUACACUUGUACAUGUGCUUUGCAAAUAUCUGGCAUCGUUUCCAAUAGUAAAAAAUAGAAAACAGCACAAAUGUCCACCAACAGAGAACUGGUUUAAUAAACUAUAUCCACACAGUGGAAUGGUAUGCAGCUGUAAUAAAAAAUAAGGAAAAUUUCCUUGUUGAAAUGGAAAUACCUCCAAGAUAUAUUAUUAAAUAAAAAAUGCAAGGUGAAGAACAAUGUGUGUAUGUGUAUAUAAAUAUAUAUUUUAUAGAAAUAUAUAAUGAAUUUUAUGUAAGGAGGAGAAUGAGAAUAUAUAUCCAUAUUUGCUUAUAUUUGCAUAAUGUCACACUGGAAGGAUAAACAAGGGGCUAAUAAAAUAAUUGGAGGGACAGGAGUGAGGGUGAGGAUUUUCUGUACUUUUUUUCUUUUUGUAUUAAUGUAGUUUUUUAAAAAAUUAAUUAAUUAAUUUAUUUAUUUUUGGCUGCAUUGGGUCUUCGUUGCUGCAUGUGGGCUUUCUCUAGUUGCAACGAGUGGAGGCUACUCUUCAUUGCGGUGCACAGGCUUCUUAUUGUGGUGGCUUCUCUUGUUGCAGAGCCGGGCUCUAGGUGCGCAGGCUUCAGUAGUUGUGGCACGUGGGCUCAGUAGUUGUGGACAUGUGCUUAGUUGUUCCGCGGCAUGUGGGAUCUUCCCAGACCAGGGCUUGAACCCAUGUUCCCUGCAUUGACAGGUGGAUUCUUAACCACUGCGCAACCAGGGAAGCCCCUUAAUGUAGUUUUGAUUUGAACAUUCUACCUAUGUUUAAAAUAAUGCUGAAUGAAAUCCAAUGUCAUUUUGGCAUUUAUUGAUAUCAUAAUAUUGGUUUCUCUAUUAAUUAUUUUAUGAUUAAUUAUCUUAAAAUGUUUUCUAUGUAA